AGGAGGCAUCGCCUCUCUUUCUCCCUGCCUCCGGCGUUCUCCUGGCUCCCUCCGGCGAAUUCUCUACCGCCGUCAUCGCAGCUCGCCGUCCGGCAGCUCUCCCAUCACUCCUUGCUCCAAAGCUAAGUUUUUUUCCUCUCAUUUAUUUCCUUGUAACAAUACUAUGUUUCAAAGAUGAAGUCUUAGUGUAUCUUACUGUGUGAUGUUGAAACCAUCUUGGGUAGUAAUUUAAUUGGGGAAAACUUUGAUAUCAAAACUUGUACAUGAGGCCUACUGUGUUGGUUUGUAUUCUUACUCAAAGUAUGGGUUCUAUCAGUCGAUAUUGCUAAGUUCACAUUGGAUUUUUGAGCACCUAUAGUUCUAAGUUCUUGAUUAUCUAUGAUUGGCUAUCAUGAUGCAUUGGUGAGGGUGGGCUAUGGAAUACCUCUCCUUUGCGAUUCUCGUUUUACGGCUGCUUCUCCGUGUUGCCGCUGCCCCUCCUCGCCUUCUUGCUCCUCCCGAUUCCUUGCUGCACUCCUUGAUUGUGAGUGAAUUUGUGGUUUCUGGGGAGGGAGUCAGGGGCGGUUUAUGGUGGUUUAUAUAGGCGAAGUGUGGUGUACUCGUGAGGCCUUAAAUGGCUGUCAAAGCUCUUUGUUUUCAUGCUGCAGAUGGCACCUUUAGUUUACUUCCUUUGUCUCUUUCUUGAAACAUAAGUACUACCUUCAUUAGGUUACUUUGUUUGAUGUGCAGGGGAAGCAGGUGGCUGUUCGGUUUGGGCUGAUUUGGCGCAGCUGGAGGGACACGUUUUGGGCUAGCUGAUCAGCAAGGUAUCGGUCAAAGGAUAGGUUGCCACUCCAAAAGAGGCAAGUCUCAAAUUCUUGGCAGCAAUGAGAGCUCUCGGUUUGGUGCAUUGGCUGUGUAGGAGUGUACCUCCCAUUUUGGGAUCAUUUAGACCUCCUUUGGUUCUUGCAGGUUUAAUGGCAGAUAAAGGAAAAGGGUUUUUUUAAAAAAAAAUUGGGGAUGUGGCCUGGGAUCGAGACGAGGCAGUCGGGCUGGCUGCACGGGCCUUCGGGCUGCCCUCUAAGUCUUUGGGCCGAAAGAAAUCUCGUGUUCGAGAGUCGAGGCCCAACUCUUUGUAUAUUUGUAUUCUUAAAUUCUUUUUUUUUUUUUUUGUCAACACAUGUGUAAAUCAUUUUUAUUUCUUGACGUUUAUUGUAUUUCACACGUAUAUACGAAAAUCUGUUUUAGUUUGA